ensembl:misc_RNA Metazoa_SRP Metazoan signal recognition particle RNA
GCCAGGCACGGUGGCUCAUGCCUGUAAUCCCAGCACUUUGGGAGGCCGAGGUGGGUGGAUCACCUGAGGUCAGGAGUUUGAGACCAGCCUGACCAACAUGGUGAAACCCCAUCUCUA